GCUGUGAUGGUCGAGUGGUUAAGAUGUUGGACUAGAAAUCCAAGAGGGUUUCCCUGCACAGGUUCGAAUCCUGCUCACAACA